rnacentral:rRNA from 2 species
AGAGUUUGAUCCUGGCUCAGGAUGAACGCUGGCGGCGUGCUUAACACAUGCAAGUCGAACGAAGCACCUUAUUCUGAUUUCUUCGGAAUGAAAAAUUUGGUGACUGAGUGGCGGACGGGUGAGUAACGCGUGGGUAACCUGCCUCAUACAGGGGGAUAACAGUUAGAAAUGACUGCUAAUACCGCAUAAGACCACAGCACCGCAUGGUGCAGGGGUAAAAACUCCGGUGGUAUGAGAUGGACCCGCGUCUGAUUAGGUAGUUGGUGGGGUAACGGCCUACCAAGCCGACGAUCAGUAGCCGACCUGAGAGGGUGACCGGCCACAUUGGGACUGAGACACGGCCCAAACUCCUACGGGAGGCAGCAGUGGGGAAUAUUGCACAAUGGGGGAAACCCUGAUGCAGCGACGCCGCGUGAGCGAUGAAGUAUUUCGGUAUGUAAAGCUCUAUCAGCAGGGAAGAAAAUGACGGUACCUGACUAAGAAGCACCGGCUAAAUACGUGCCAGCAGCCGCGGUAAUACGUAUGGUGCAAGCGUUAUCCGGAUUUACUGGGUGUAAAGGGAGCGUAGACGGAGUGGCAAGUCUGAUGUGAAAACCCGGGGCUCAACCCCGGGACUGCAUUGGAAACUGUCAAUCUAGAGUACCGGAGAGGUAAGCGGAAUUCCUAGUGUAGCGGUGAAAUGCGUAGAUAUUAGGAGGAACACCAGUGGCGAAGGCGGCUUACUGGACGGUAACUGACGUUGAGGCUCGAAAGCGUGGGGAGCAAACAGGAUUAGAUACCCUGGUAGUCCACGCCGUAAACG